rnacentral:rRNA from 1 species
AAUGAACGUUGGCGGCGUGGAUUAGGCAUGCAAGUCGAGCGAGAAGCUUUAAAAAGAUACUUCGGUUGAUUUUUGAAGUGGACAGCGGCGAAAGGGAGAGUAACGAGUAGAUACGUACCCGAGGGUUUGGGAUAGCGGGGAGAAAUCGCCGGUAAUACCGAAUAAUGUUUCCGAACCAAAGAUUUAUCGCCCUCGGAGCGGUCUGCUUACUAUUAGGUAGUUGGUGUGGUAAUGGCGCACCAAGCCCGAGAUGGUUAGCGGGUGUGAGAGCAUGGCCCGUCUCACUGGGACUGAGACACUGCCCAGACACCUACGGGUGGCUGCAGUCGAGAAUCUUCCGCAAUGGACGAAAGUCUGACGGAGCGACGCCGCGUGCGGGAUGAAGGCCUUCGGGUUGUAAACCGCUGUCAUAGGGGAGGAAAUUUUGACCGAUCCUAAGAGGAAGCACAGGCUAAGUUCG